UUUUAAUUUGGUAAGGAGUAAUUUAAUUUUUUAUUUUAGCGAUCGUCACGCACAGUUUGCUCCUUCCUGCUGUCUUUUGAGCUAGGUCUUUCUUUCCUUUAGUGUUCCUUGAGUACAUUUAACAACAAAGGUAAUUCCCGCAAAGGAAAAAUAAUACACGACCAUUCUUAAUUUGUUUGUUAUAGAUACUUUAUUGACUUUGAACGCAUAUUAUCGAUGAUAAUAAAUCGACACUAAUUCUGUUUAAUAUAAUAUUAAUUAAUUUGUACUUUGAUGGCAUAUAUCUUGACAAAAAAGCGGUAUGCAAAGAUUCAAUUAUGACUG